CACUGGUCGAGAGCUGGCACCGCUCUCCUGAUGAGUCCAAGGCAGGACGAAACCAGUG
rfam:Helianthus annuus linkage group 10, whole genome shotgun sequence.